rnacentral:rRNA from 1 species
UACGUAGGGGGCUAGCGUUGUCCGGAAUCAUUGGGCGUAAAGCGCGCGUAGGCGGUCAGGUAAGUCCGGUGUGAAAGUCAAAGGCUCAACCUUUGAAUGCCGCUGGAUACUGCUUGACUUGAGUCCGGAAGGGGCGAGUGGAAUUCCUGGUGUAGCGGUGAAAUGCGCAGAUAUCAGGAGGAACACCUAUUGCGAAGGCAGCUCGCUGGGACGUAACUGACGCUGAGACGCGAAAGCGUGGGGAGCAAACAGG